rnacentral:rRNA from 1 species
AACGAACGCUGGCGGCAUGCCUAACACAUGCAAGUCGAACGAAGUCUUCGGACUUAGUGGCGCACGGGUGCGUAACGCGUGGGAAUCUGCCCUUGGGUACGGAAUAACUCAGAGAAAUUUGUGCUAAUACCGUAUAAUGUCUUCGGACCAAAGAUUUAUCGCCCAAGGAUGAGCCCGCGUAAGAUUAGCUAGUUGGUGGGGUAAAAGCCUACCAAGGCGACGAUCUUUAGCUGGUCUGAGAGGAUGAUCAGCCACACUGGGACUGAGACACGGCCCAGACUCCUACGGGAGGCAGCAGUGGGGAAUAUUGGACAAUGGGCGAAAGCCUGAUCCAGCAAUGCCGCGUGAGUGAUGAAGGCCCUAGGGUUGUAAAGCUCUUUUACCAGGGAUGAUAAUGACAGUACCUGGAGAAUAAGCUCCGGCUAACUCCGU